GCCCAACCGGCUCAGUCGGUGGAGCGUGUGAUUCUUGAUCUUGGGGCCGUGGGUUCGAGCCCCACACUGGGUA
rnacentral:tRNA from 1 species